ACUUCCUGAGCCGGAACGAAAAGUUUUUCAGAAUAAGCGGGAAACUGCUGAUUUCAGAGGACUUUUGGCUUGUGGUCGUGAUGUUGUGUUUGCAAAUUGAUCUGACGCUUUUCAGAUCGGGUGGCUCAGCUACCGUUUAUUCCUGUAGAUUUACCCUGUCUGUCCAUAGUGAUUUUAACAGCACCGCAAACUGCGGUGCUUUUUUUU
rnacentral:other from 1 species